rnacentral:rRNA from 1 species
UACAGAGGAUGCAAGCGUUGUCCGGAAUUAUUGGGCGUAAAGAGCUCGUAGGCGGUCUGUUGCGUCCGCUGUGAAAACUCGGGGCUUAACCCCGAGCCUGCAGUGGAUACGGGCAGACUAGAGGUAGGUAGGGGAGAAUGGAAUUCCCGGUGUAGCGGUGAAAUGCGCAGAUAUCGGGAGGAACACCGGUGGCGAAGGCGGUUCUCUGGGCCUUACCUGACGCUGAGGAGCGAAAGCGUGGGGAGCGAACAGG